AGUUGUAUAGGCAUGUCAAAAUGACUUUAUACAGUCAAUAUGAAACAAGCAUUAAAUAUUUUUUCUCAUGUUGUUGCUUUUAUCAUUAUGAAUUCCUUGCUUGUUGCCACCUAAGAUACGAUGGAGCAAGCACAGUCUUAAAGAAGAUUUGCUGAUUUUUUGUUUUUCUCAGCAGACCAGAGACAUCCAUAAAAAUUCAUCAGAGAGCAUUUUACUACUGAGCUGCAAAGAUGACAAGAGCACCUCAAAGGCAGCAGCCUCAAGGAGCAGCCAUGGCCCCAGACUUGUCGCACGGAUGCAGAAAACUUAAUGGAGGAGGCUGAGCAAAACAGAGCGUGACACUCCCAAUCAUCUGCAUGCUGGAAAUGAGGAAAUGGUUAUUGAAUGAUACAAGUGCUUUUCGAUCAUUUAGAAAGUUCUGUUUCCCAAGAUCUUUUUUUUUUUUUUUUUU
rnacentral:lncRNA from 1 species